rnacentral:misc_RNA from 1 species
CUCAAGAGGAUGUUCACCAAGGUUUCGGUGUUCUGCUUGCUGGCGCCAUUGUCGAGUGACUACUCAUCCACCGUGACCGCCCCGGUGUGCGUGCAACAGCAGGGCUCCUCGUGGCUACAGUUUUUUUUUGCGCCGAUGAAAGCAGGAGCACAUGCUCGUCUUCUACAUCGGAUGCUAGUCGACGUCGCUGCCGGUCGCGUCCUCGGCACCGCUGGUGGAGGCGGGGUGGCUAGAGUUUCGUCGAUGGACACGACCAGUGAAGCCUUCAUCUUCUUACGUUUCUCUCUGUCGAGUUCUGGUAACGGCGGCGGUCAUAGUGGAUGCAGCGGUCAAUG